GAGAGGGAAGAGUUGACUGUGAUGAAGCAGUCGGGUGGCUGACUAGCUCUAACCUCUGUACUGCAAUAGUCACUUCCAUCUCUGAACUGGAGGGUGCUCUCAUCAUUCAAGAUCCAGGCUCCUGGCUUUCUAAACACCCACUUAUCAGUACAACCAGGAGCUGCUUUGCAAAACUGAUGGGCAACCUGAGCAUACUGAUGGAGACAGCUCAAGGGAGCAUUCACGGGUGCAGAGCUUACCUGGAGAGGGACUCCCUGAUACAGAGGCUGGCUCGUGGGCUCAACAGAGUAAAUGCCCAGGCCCUGGAAGCUGGAUUGUAUGACAGACUGCCCAGCACAAGAAACAUAGCAAUCUUGCAGCAAGAAAUAUUUGAAUUUUCAUGAAGGCUUAAUGUGUAAGAGGUAGAGUCCCACACACUGCACCUGCAGCUUUCAGAAUGCAGAUGGACUUUCAAUGAGGUACAAAAAGAUGCUGAAAAAGCCCAGAGUCUGCAA